GUGGUUUGAAUGUCUGUAUCCCUCCAAAACUCAUGCUGAAACUGAAUCCCCAGUGCAACAGUAAUAAGAGAUGGGGUAGGUGGGAGUGGGAACGCCAUCAGGGCAGAGCCCCUCCAGCUGGCUGGGGUCUGCACCUCCUCGCCAGCCCGGCCACCUCAAAACGGUGCUUGCCUCCCUGCGGGGGUGUAGAAGCCUCUUGGAGCAGCACUUGUAGAAAAUCAAGUCCCUGGAAAGAAGCAAAAUUAAUCCGUUUGUUUCUCUAUUUAUUUUUGCUUCCCCACACCAGGUAUUCACUUCAUCCAAGGCUGCCCAAUGUCACCUUCCACCCAGAGGAAUCUCCCCUCUCCACCCCAGGCCAACAGCCUCUGCCUUCAGCUGUGGCCUCCACUCUGGCAUUACUCUGGGCAGAGGGCUCAGGAGGGCUCAAGGAGGACCA
rnacentral:lncRNA from 1 species